rnacentral:rRNA from 1 species
CGGACGGGUGAGUAAUGCCUAGGAAUCUGCCUGGUAGUGGGGGACAACGUUUCGAAAGGAACGCUAAUGCCGCAUACGUCCUACGGGAGAAAGCAGGGGACCUUCGGGCCUUGCGCUAUCAGAUGAGCCUAGGUCGGAUUAGCUAGUUGGUGAGGUAAUGGCUCACCAAGGCGACGAUCCGUAACUGGUCUGAGAGGAUGAUCAGUCACACUGGAACUGAGACACGGUCCAGACUCCUACGGGAGGCAGCAGUC